GGGUCUCAGUGUUUUUGUGACAGGUUGUGAGAAAGCAAGUGAGCAUGCUGUGAGCCACAAAUAUGCAAGGGAAAAACAGAUAAUUCCUUUAUCAUAGGGGAAAAAAUGAUAAUUCCUUUAUUAUAAGGAAAACAAACAAUAUUUUUGUAAUGCAAUCAUACAAAUUACAGUUUCAUGGAUGGCAGGAAAUAAACAUGACAUAUAAAUGUUCAAUGUUUGGGAAAAAAAAUGUAUUUGCUGUGGUUUGGAUUAGUUUCUAAGUGACAAUAUGGUCUUUAUUAAUCCUUUACACAAUAAGAAUAUAUGGAAGUUGUGAAUCUCUGAGAAGACGUAAGUAUAAUUUCUUAACAACACAAUGGAAAGCACAAGUUAUAUGACAGUGGAGAUUAGCAGUUCUUUGAGCAGACUAAAUGUGGGACUCAAUGGCACAUCUUUGUAAGCAGCAGUGAGAGUUGGUUGGCAUUAGUCACACGACUGACAGCAUGAGAAUUUAUGUGUGUUGCCCUCAAAAGGGUACCCUCUUUUACAUCGCUGGGAUCAUGAUGAAAGCCUAGUCAGUGGGACAAGCCGAUGACGUUUGAGCAUUCCAUAAUCUUUUGUCUCCUCUCUCCAGCACACUCUCUCACUUUCUUUCUCUUGUUCCCACUGUCUCACUGUCAGCCGACAUCAACUGUCCAUCGUAUCUCAUCCUGCUUCACAUUGCUUAAUCUCCUUUUCCUUUCCUCCUUACUCAUCUGUUUUUCUGUCGUGAAAUUCCUCCCUUAGAAAAAACACUGCAAAAACAGCCCUCCAGUCAGCCCUGUGAUGCAGGAGGAGGAUAAAAGGGGGUCCAGGAAGGGGAGGGUCCAGUGCCAUCCAGUGUAACAACAGAUCUCCAGUAAAGGGGAGGGUGAUGAGUUUGGCCUUUGGACGGCUUGUGACGCUGCUCCCUUGUGAGAUAUCAGACGAGCCUGACAAAGACACUGAGAAUGCAGAAUGUCUCUGGCCUUCUGUCUCCUGGGUACCUUUUUUUAGCAACAAAGAAUGCGCUAAAAAUAGCUCCACUCACAUGCAUUCUCUUUCCUUUGUUCCAUCAUUCUUUAGUUAUGUUUCAAUUUCCCCUAAUUCCUUAGAGAGCAAGAGAGAGAGAGAAAUAGAGAGAGAUUGAGAGAGAUCAGCAUAGUGACCAGACCUGUUUACGUAUUUUACUGCUGUUUCCAUCCGCCUGUUUUUGUUGUUGUUAUUUUUUGGCUGCCCCUUGUUUAUGUUCAGCCCUCUCCAUCUGACACCUACUCUUCCGCCGAGAUGAAGAGAGUUGGAGAGAUGGUGAAAGAUGGUUAAAGAGACAGAAGAGGUAAAAGACCCAGAGAAACAGACAGAGACAUAGAGACAGACAGGCUGAGAAACUGAGAUGGUGAGCAAUACAGACAGGACAUAUACAAUGACAGGUGAGGAAAGAAUGUUGAAGCAGACUCAGAGAGGGACGGUCAGCAUUUCUGUGUUUGUAUGCACGUGCUUUAACAGACUGAAAUUAUGUCUGAAAAAUGUUAACAUGCUUGUGAGAUGGACAGAUGAGACGAAGGAAGAGGGGGAGAGAGAGUAUGGAAAGACUUGCCCACCCUUUAAAUCAUUCCUUUAUGCGUGGGAUGUCUUCCCUAUUCAUUCUAUUACAUUUUUGUCUCCUGUUUUCCUCCUCUUUCUCUCUUUCACUGACCAAUUGCUAUUUAUUAAAAGAUGUUUUUACUCUCUGAAAAUAUAGCAUGUCCAUAGCUAGUGGGGUUAAAGGUGGUAUUUAUUAAUAGGAAAGGGGCCCAGAGCAAUAUACAGUCAGGGUAAGUCCUUACUACGGCCCUAAGCAUGUUACAGUAAAUAAAUAUAUAGAUAAAUGUAAUAAACAAAUGAAAAUACAUCGAAAUACAUGCUUACACAACCACACACACACAGUCACAUUCAGAAUUUAAUUUCUGAAAUAGUUUUGCGUUCUCUUACAGUAAGUUUUGCAACCCCUCGCAAUAAUUUGCAUUCCCUCACAAUAAGUUUUGCCCAAACAGACGGCGGGAGCAUGGAACUGGCCCAGCACUCAGUUGGCAGCCCGCCUCAUGCCGCUGUUAUCCAGGGAACCCCAACUCACGGCCCACCAACUACCUAUGUCCAACCUCCUGGUGUACAAAGAUCUGAAGAAAGCCAUCCUGCAACGGGUUGGCCAAAGCCCAGAGCAACAUCAGCAACACUUCCGCUCACUGUCACUCGGCGAGCUCGGCAGCCCGUUCGCAUUCGCUUGACAGCUCCGUGACACCUGCUGAAGGUGGCUGCUGGCUGAAGAUAGCAACGCAGAGGAGAUACUCGAUCUGGUGGUACUGGAGCAGUUCAUCGUCUGGUUACCGAAAGGGACAGCGGAGUGGGUCCAGUGCCAUCGAAUGGCGUCGCUGGAUGGGGUGGUCCAGUUGGCUGAGGACCAUAUGGUGGUGUAUUUGGGGGCCGGCGAGCCCCAUGCUUCUCUCUCUCUCUCUCCAUCUCUCUCCACCCUCCCCCUCUCUUUCCCCUUGUCCUGUUCCUAUUCCCUGGAAAUGGGGAAUUUUGACUCCAAACCCGGUUCCCCGGUCCCUUGGGCUGUUCAACCCUCCAGUCUUCCCUAACCCUCUCCGCUCUCCCCCACAGGCUGGUGAAUCCGCUGCCACGGGUGUAGGCGUUAAGUCUGGGCCAGUCUGCUGGAGCUGCUAGGAACCUGGGCAUUUCCAGGGCCGAUGCCCUGUGAUGGAGGUGGAGACAUUGGUCUGGAUCCCCGACGUGCCACAGGCUGCCCCAAUCGAGCAGGAGCGUACCAGAUACCUAUGGACGCAUCGGACAGGAGGUUGGGAGCGGUACUGUCCCAGAUGGUGGAAGGGGAGGAGCACCCCGUGCUGUACAUUAGUCACAAACUCUCACUGAGGGAGACUAAGUACAGCAUGAUAGAGAAGGAGUGUUUUGCCAUCAAGUGGGCGGGUCUCACCCUCCGGUAUUAUCUGUUGGGGCGUGCUUUCACCCUCUGUUCGGACCACGCCCCACUCCAGUGGCUCCAUAGCAUGAAGGAUACCAACACGUGGAAACACGUUGGUUUCUGGCUCUCCAGAAGCUCUCUCAGGGAGCUCCCGGCCUGAGUCGUGUGAUGGGGGUAUGUGGUGAUGUGUGCGUGGCCAAGCGACAUCUGUGGAGAGUGAGGAUGGGAGAGGAAGAGCGCUUUUCCCAAAGAGCCAUUAACACACUCACUUGCUCUCUGACGUCUCUGGAGCAGUACAGGGGUUGGGAAAGGUGAAAGGGGGGUUGAGAGGGUUCCCAGAUUGUGGCUGGUUUGGACACACCUCUGUCACAAAGAAUGGGAGCAGUCAGAGAGGGUCAAAGGACAUUAAAACAUCCUGUCAUAAGGAUUAACUUUCUUUUUUUUUUUUACUGUAUUUAUACACCGUCCCACGAACACACACACAUUCAUCUUCCUCUUGUUUCCUUAUUUCUUUCUCAACACUGUCAUUGUGUAAUCCCUCUGGGGUAUUUUUGAGAUGGUAGAGAAAUGAUUAAUUUAUAUCAAAUCAUGUUUCUGCAGGUAUCCUUUCUGUUUUCCUAUUCGGUGUCUCAUUGGCUAUAUAUGUUGCCAAACUGUUGAUAUUGGUGUGUGUGUGUGUGUUCAUGACUGAGGCAGAAAUAGGCCAGAACGUAUUAAAAUAAUAAUUUGAUGGCCAAACAGCCACCGUGUUUUGAACAACUGGAGAACAGAGUAACAUGAAACAAAGUUUGAUUUAUUUAACUCCUGACUAAUGAACUUUAAACAUCCUCACGUUUUUUUUUUUUACCUAUUUAGACUGGUAGAACUUUGUUCCAUAACACUGACAAAUAAACUUACAAUUAUUUGUGCCCUCACCCCCCACUUACACCCACAUUUAUAAUCUUAAUCAUUCUACAUUUUUGAAGACGUUUUCCAUUUAAGUCUGCUAACUAAAUUAUUCCACAAAUAAUGGUUUUAAUUGCAGAUCUGCAGUCUGGCAGUAAAACCAAAAUGGACUAAAACCAAAUGAUCAUAUGUUGCAAAUGAUGGUUGCUGCUGUUGUAAGGUUUUGGCAUGGGAAAUGAAAAUGUGGAUUUUACAGUAUUAUUUAUCUGCAGAAGAAAGUUUGUGAAAGGUUGCGUGAAUUCUGAAGGCAGAUAUACUGUAUGUUAGACUGCACUUAAAGGAAUAGUUCACCCCAAAAAAUUACAAUUCUGUCAUCAUUUACUCACCCUCAUUUCAUUCCAAACCCAUUUGAUUUUCUUUCUUCAGUGCAAGCAAAAGGAGAUGUUGAGCAGAAUGUUCAUGCUGUUCUUUUCCAUACAAUGAAAGUUAUUCAAUGAAAGUCUUGCCUUCUGCCUUAGCUGUCAUUUCUCGGUCACACUUUCAAUCAAAUACAGUCAUCUCAAUAUGAAUCCGCGCAAUCGGGAUUUUUGCCUGAUGGAUUUCCAGUGGCGAAAAUUUUGCCUACGUGAAGUUCAUAUGGGGUUCAAGUUUGGUGAACUUUGACAUAAAAAUUUGCAUCGUUUACCAAUAGGAAGUUGCCUGGUUUGACAGUGACCUCUGGCACUGUACAUACAGUA